UACGUAGGGGGCGAGCGUUGUCCGGAGUUACUGGGCGUAAAGCGCACGCAGGCGGUCUGCUAAGUUUGGAGUGACAGUUGGUGGCUUAACUGCCAAAGUGCUUCGAAAGCUGACAGGCUUGAGGGCUUCAGAGGGACACGGAAUUCCGGGUGGAGUGGUGAAAUGCGUAGAGAUCCGGAGGAACACCAAAGGCGAAGGCAGUGUCCUGGGGAGUACCUGACGCUCAGGUGCGAAAGCCAGGGGAGCGAACGGG
rnacentral:rRNA from 1 species